rnacentral:rRNA from 1 species
GACGAACGCUGGCGGUGUGCUUAACACAUGCAAGUCGAACGGAAAGGCACUGCUUUUGUGGGGUGCUCGAGUGGCGAACGGGUGAGUAACACGUGAGUAACCUGCCCUUGACUUUGGGAUAACUUCAGGAAACUGGGGCUAAUACCGGAUAGGAGCUCCUGCUGCAUGGUGGGGGUUGGAAAGUCUCGGCGGUUGGGGAUGGACUCGCGGCUUACCAGCUUGUUGGUGGGGUAGUGGCUUACCAAGGCUUUGACGGGUAGCCGGCUUGAGAGGGUGACCGGCCACAUUAGGACUGAGAUAGGGCCCAGACUCCUACAGGAGGCAGCAGUGGGGAAUAUUGCACAGUGGGCGGAAGCCUGAUGCAGCAACUCCGCGUGCGGGAUGACGGCCUUCGGGUUGUAAACCGCUUUCGCCUGUGACGAAGCGUGAGUGACGGUAAUGGGUAAAGAAGCACCGGCUAACUACGUG